rnacentral:lncRNA from 1 species
UUUGAUGUUUAUAUUUGGAUACUUGCUCUUGGAGCCCACCUGCCCUGCUGGGAGGUGCUGGGAACACCUGGAGAGCCAUGUGCAGCUGUGUGGCCAGCAAUCCCAGCUUUGUUCCCAGCCAGCUGCCAGACCUGGGAGUGAGGAAGCCUUCCAGAAGACCCCAGCCUAGUCCCCAUCUGACAGCGACCUCAUGAGAUAUCCUGAGUGAGAUCUACCCAGCCGAGC